rnacentral:rRNA from 1 species
GAGUUUGAUCGUGGCUCAGAUUGAACGCUGGCGGCAGGCCUAACACAUGCAAGUCGAGCGGUAGAUAGAAGCUUGCUUCUCUUGAGAGCGGCGGACGGGUGAAUAAUGCCUAGGAAUCUGCCUGGUAGUGGGGGAUAACGCUCGGAAACGGACGCUAAUACCGCAUACGUCCUACGGGAGAAAGCAGGGGACCUUCGGGCCUUGCGCUAUCAGAUGAGCCUAGGUCGAUUAGCUAGUUGGUGAGGUAAUGGCUCACCAAGGCGACGAUCCGUAACUGGUCUGAGAGGAUGAUCAGUCACACUGGAACUGAGACACGGUCCAGACUCCUACGGGAGGCAGCAGU